rnacentral:rRNA from 1 species
UACGUAGGGGGCUAGCGUUGUCCGGAUUUAUUGGGCGUAAAGAGCGUGUAGGCGGCCAGAUAGGUCCGUUGUGAAAACUGGAGGCUUAACCUCCAGCUGUCGAUGGAAACCAUCUGGCUAGAGUCCGGAAGAGGAGAGUGGAAUUCCUGGUGUAGAGGUGAAAUUCGUAGAUAUUCGGAGGAACACCAGUGGCGAAGGCGGCUCACUGGUCCAUUACUGACGCUGAGGUGCGAAAGCGUGGGGAGCAAACAGG